GCCUGGGUGGCUCAGUCGGUUGAGUGUCCGACUUCGGCUCAGGUCAUGAUCUCGCGGUCCGUGGGUUCGAGCCCCGCGUCGGGCU
rnacentral:tRNA from 1 species